rnacentral:tRNA from 1 species
GGGCCUGUAACUCAGAGGUAGAGUAUCUGCCUUUUAAGCAGAGAGUCGAUGGUUCGAAUCCAUCCAGGCUCACCA